rnacentral:rRNA from 1 species
AACGAACGCUGGCGGCGUGCUUAACACAUGCAAGUCGAACGCGAAAGGGGCUUCGGUCCUGAGAAGAGUGGCGCACGGGUGAGUAACGCGUAGAUAACCUGUCCUGGUGUCUGGAAUAACGUCUCGAAAGGGGCACUAAUACCGGAUAUUCUUGCUUUCUUCAAGGUAUGCAAGGAAAGGUGGCCUCUGGAACAAGCUACUGCACGAGGAGGGGUCUGCGUACCAUUAGCUAGUAGGUGGGGUAAUGGCCUACCUAGGCGACGAUGGUUAGCGGGUCUGAGAGGAUGAUCCGCCACACUGGCACUGGAAUACGGGCCAGACUCCUACGGGAGGCAGCAGUGAGGAAUAUUGCGCAAUGGGGGCAACCCUGACGCAGCGACGCCGCGUGAGUGAGGAAGGCCUUCGGGUCGUAAAGCUCUGUCAAGAGGGAAGAAGUGCAUGGUGGUUAAUAUCUGUCAUGUUUGACGGUACCUCUAAAGGAAGCACCGGCUAACUCCGUGCCAGCCGCCGCAGUAA